rnacentral:rRNA from 1 species
CCCUUAGACGUUCUGGGCCGCACGCGCGCUACACUGACGAAGGCAACGAGCUUUCCUUUACCGAAAGGUACGGGUAAUCUUUUGAAACUUCGUCGUGCUGGGGAUAGAUCCUUGCAAUUUUUGAUCUUAAACGAGGAAUUCCUAGUAAGCGCAAGUCAUCAACUUGCGUUGAUUACGUCCCUGCCCUUUGUACACACCGCCCGUCGCUACUACCGAUUGAAUGGUUUAGUGAGAAUUUAGGACUGGAACUCCCUUGCUCAGCAAUGGGCGAGGGGGAGUCCGGGAAGCUAUUCUAACUGUAUCAUUUAGAGGAAGUAAAAGUCGUAACA